GUGCCGGGCGCGGUUGCCUAGGCGACGCUAUUCCCAAAAUGGCGGCCGCCGCCGGUGCUGCUCCGCGACUGGAGCCGUUCUGUGUGGCCGAGGAGCGGAGCGGGCACUGCGCCGUGGCGGACGAGGGCUACCUCUACGUGUGGGGGGGAUACGUGUCCGUAGAAGAAAAUGAAGUUUAUUUGCCCAAUGAUGAGCUCUGGAUUUAUGAAAUUGACAGUGGAUUAUGGUCGAUGCACUUAAUGGAAGGGGAGCUACCUCCAUCCAUGUCUGGAAGCUGCGGGUCUUGCAUUAAGGGAAACUUCUUCCUCUUUGGAGGAUUUGACGACAAAGGCUACAGCAAUCGGCUCUAUUAUGUUAAUUUGCGAUCAAGAAAUGGAACCUAUUUGUGGAAAAAAAUCACAGACUUUAAAGGCCAGCCUCCUACACCACGGGACAAAUUGGCCUGCUGGGUGUAUAAAGACAGACUAAUCUAUUUUGGAGGAUAUGGUUGUAGAAAACAGAGUGAGCUGAGUGACUGUUUUGAUGUUCAUGAUGCGUUUUGGGAAGGCCAGAUGUUCUGGGGUUGGCACAACGAUGUACAUGUUUUUGACACCACUAAAAAAACCUGGUAUCAGCCAACAAUUAAACAUGGAGUCCCUCCUCAGCCACGAGCAGCGCAUUCAUGUGCCGUACUGGGAAAUAAAGGCUACGUGUUUGGAGGACGGGUUCUGCAAACACGGAUGGACGAUUUACAUUCUCUAAAUUUAGAUAGCUGGGUGUGGUCUGGAAAAAUUAAUACGACUGGAGAGAAACCCAGAAGCAGAUCAUGGCACACGUUGACCCCUGUAACGGAUGACAGGCUUUUCCUGUUUGGUGGACUGAGUUCAGACAAUGUGCCCUUAAGUGAUGGCUGGAUUUAUAGUGUCAAAAGCAACGAAUGGCAACAACUGACAUACUUACCAAAGAGUAGACCUAGGUUGUGGCACACAGCUUGUCUUGGGAAAGAAGCGGAGGUGAUGGUCUUUGGAGGGAGCAAAGAUGACCUGCAUUUCCUUGACACGGUGGUUCCGGUGGUGAUGGGCACACUGGGUGCCGUGCCAAAAGAUCUCAGCCGGCAUUUGGAAACAAUAGACAUUGACAAAAUUACGAUCUGCCAACUGCAAAAGGCCACCCUACUGGGAUCUGCGCGCAUCAUCCGAAAAUACAUCACAUAGACACUUGGGAAGUGUUCGACUUAUGAUUUUGUAAUACGAAAUCCAGCAUAUCUAUCUUGUUUGCUGUGUCAUAAUAAAAUAAUAAUAGUUUAUAUUAUAAUUAUUAUUACUACUACAACUACUACUCUUCAAGCCUAUGGGAAUAGCUGAUAACAAGCACAUCUAGCCAAACAUUGCUUUAAUUUAAUGGUAGCUGCUACACAAAUUGCAUUAUUGAGUUUUCUUUUCAUUUUUAUUAACAUUGUUAAUAUUAUUAUACACAAUCUAUACUGGCUUGAAAUAUAUACACACGCACACACACACACGCUCAGAGUAGAAGUGUAGACAACCAUUCUUUGAAAAAAAUCGCUUAAAUCGACAAAUAACUUUUGUUUAUUGUGUUCUUGCUCAGGGACACUGCAGUGAUUUACUGAUUUUUCAGACACAGCCAUACUCGCUUCUCAGACUUAGCCUCGACUGCAUUGGCCGAAAUGCCAUCCUCUUAGAGAGCCAAAUGGCUCUCCUUCCACCUCGGCUCCUGGAGGAAGCGCUGGAUAAAAU